UGGGGAAUCUUGCGCAAUGGCCGAGAGGCUGACGCAGCGACGCCGCGUGGGGGAUGAAGCAUUUCGGUGUGUAAACCCCUGUUGCUCGGGACGAACGAUCCUUUUCGAGGGAUGUGACGGUACCGAGUGAGGAAGCACCGGCUAACUCCGUGCCAGCAGCCGCGGUAAUACGGAGGGUGCGAGCGUUGUCCGGAAUCACUGGGCGUAAAGGGCGCGUAGGUGGUUAGAUGCGCCGGUGGUGAAAGCGCAGGGCUCAACCCUGCGUCGGCCAUCGGGACGGUCUGACUUGAGCACUGUAGAGGCAGGUGGAAUUCCGGGUGUAGCGGUGGAAUGCGUAGAGAUCCGGAAGAACACCGGUGGCGAAGGCGGCCUGCUGGGCAGUAGCUGACACUGAGGCGCGACAGCGUGGGGAGCAAACAGGAUUAGAUACCCUGGUAGUCCACGCCGUAAACGAUGGGCACUAGGUGCUUGGGGGAGCGA
rnacentral:rRNA from 1 species